UACGUAGGGUGCAAGCGUUAAUCGGAAUUACUGGGCGUAAAGCGUGCGCAGGCGGUUGUGCAAGACAGAUGUGAAAUCCCCGGGCUCAACCUGGGAAUGGCGAUGAAGACUGCAAGGCUAGAAUCUGGCAGAGGGGGGUAGAAUUCCACGUGUAGCAGUGAAAUGCGGUAGAGAUGUGGAGGAACACCGAUGGCGAAGGCAGCCCCCUGGGUCAAGAUUGACGCUCAUGCACGAAAGCGUGGGGAGCAAACAGG
rnacentral:rRNA from 1 species